rnacentral:lncRNA from 1 species
UUGUGAAUCACUCUGUUCAGGACCUAGAUGGCAAAUAAGCUAUCCAUUUCUAAGAUGACCUCGUGUGAACCAAAGUUCCGUGCCAUUUCUAGGCCAUCUAUAAUGUCCAAAGCUCGACAUGCAAAAUGGAUCAUGUACUAAUUUUCCUGCUAAAGCCCCUAACCAAGUUAUAUUUGCGUCUCUAUCAAGGCCACCAGCGCAUGUCAGGUUAUUGCUAGCACGAACUGCCCCAUAA